UACGUAGGGGGCAAGCGUUGUCCGGAUUUAUUGGGCGUAAAGCGCGCGCAGGCGGUCUUCCAAGUCAGUGGUGAAAGCCCGGAGCUCAACUCCGGAAUUGCCAUUGAAACUGUUAGACUUGAGGAUGAGAGAGGUGAGUGGAAUUCCCAGUGUAGAGGUGAAAUUCGUAGAUAUUGGGAAGAACACCGGUGGCGAAGGCGGCUCACUGGCUCAUUACUGACGCUCAGGCGCGAUAGCGUGGGGAUCAAACAGG
rnacentral:rRNA from 1 species